CCCACCCAGCCGGCCAGGCGCCUCCAGCCGCUGAAAUCCAGCUUUCCGGGGGGCACGGGACGAGGAUCCCGGCCUAGGGGGGCAAGGGUCCUGAAGCCCACACAAACUAGGGCCAAUGAGAUCCCACUCAACCAGCAGCCAAACGGAAUGGGGUUCCGAGGUGCCCAGAGAUGCUGAGCUAAGAAGAGAGUGUGAGCUGAGGGAGCUGCAGCGAGUACCCAGGCCUAACCUCCAGGAGAGAGGUACCUGCAAUGGGAAACAGAGCCUAGCACCUGCCACACAAUGAGGAGACUGGGGCUCAGAAAGGUGAAGUGACUUGUCCAAAGUCAAGAAAAUGGCAGAGCAGAGACCAGAGCCUAGGUCUGGGAGCCCAGCCCUCCCUGCUAUUUCACCUAGACAAGGUACAGCCAAUUUUCAAAGGUCUCCCUUCUGGCCAGCCAGUCAACCCAGAGGCCACUGUGACGAACGCCAAGAUCAGGGCCAGGCCUUGGGCAAGCAGCUGAACCUCUUCGCUCAUUAUUCGAUAAUGAUUUAUGGUGGACCAACAGCAUUCCAGGCAGCAGGGAAACAGAAGAAUUAGCCCCAGGACUGCCUGAGAAGAGCUGACAGCCUAGAAUGGGGGCCAUGAGGAAAGGUGGUGUGUGCCACAGGAGCCACGGAACAAGAAAUUAAUCCCAGCCCCGCUCCUGACAUUUGUGGGUCCAGGGCCAGAAGUCAACUGGAGCCCCCUUACAAUUCAUCUGAAUAUUUAAAAGUUAUAAAUCAUGCCAACAAAGAUAAAUAAAUUCUAUCCUCUUACUCUGAGGAUACCUUCAAGAUGACCCAGAAAGCCAGGUUCAAAUAAAAAAUUCUAGGACUGCUGUAACAAUAUGGAUGGAACUAGAGAACAUUAUGCUAAGUGAAAUAAGUCAG